GCCAGUAAAAAGGAGGGUUUAUGCUUUCAAUCACGGCUUUGGAGCCCAAGGAAGAGGCGUUCUGCCCUAAUAUGUGACGCUGAGGCCUAAAAAGAAUGCUUUGGGCCCUAAAAAUGAGAGCCUGGGUCCAAAACCAGAGGGUGUAGGUGAUAAAAAGUUGGCUUUGGAUGCCAAGUCUAGGCUCUCUUGUCCUGAAAAUGUCCUGAAAGCUGGGUGCUUAAGGACAAGGCUGUGCUCUAUAAAGAGGAGCCUUGGUGCCACAGCUGUACGCUUUUCAGCUGCAAAGAAAAGGUGAUAAAAAGGUUUUGGAUCCACAAAAGGUGCUCUUAGUCGUGAAGUGAAGGGGUUCUAGGGUGAAAAUGAGACAUUUGGCCCUAAAAAUGAGGCUUUGAUUCCUCAGAAAGGGUCUUUUCUGUGUGCCCAGAGCAUCCCAAAGGCCCUGCUGGCAGCUGGUCACAGGUUUGCUGGCUCAAAAGGGGCCUCAUGGGGCUGAAGAGCUGCUGGGGAAAACUGCUCUCGGCCGCUCUGAUUCAGAAGAGCUGGCCUCUGGAGGGAACCCACUUCGAGACUCUGUCCCCAGUGCUACAGCGCCUGGCUGUCAUCGUGCAGCCUGGCAGCAUCCCAAAAGGACGCUCACUGCUGGCCAGAGUCAGAGGGGGCAGAUCCUUCCUCCGGGCACAUGGUGAAAUGGAGAAAGGCAGCACUCCAGCACGCCCCUGCUGUCACACUGUGGUGGUUUUCCUCAGGCGGGCAGCCGAGUUCCACCACGGCCGCUCUCUCACUUCCCCUCCUCAAAGAGGAAGGGGGAGAAAAUACGACACAAGGAGCUCGAGGUUUGAGAUCAGGAUGAUUUAAUUAAAGGGAAAAGGGAGAGGGGAAAAAAAAAGAAGAAGAAAAAGGAAAAGGAAAAG